rnacentral:rRNA from 1 species
CCUACGUGGGGCAGCAGUGGGGAAUAUUGGGCAAUGGGCGCACGCCUGACCCAGCAACGCCGCGUGAAGGAAGAAGGCUCUCUGGUUGGAAACUUCCUUUAAGGGGGAAGAGCAGAAGACGGUACCCCUCGAAUAAGCCACGGCUAACUACGUACCAGCAGCCGCGGUAAUACGUAGGUGGCAAGCGGUGUCCGGAUUUACUGGGUGUAAAGGGCGUGCAGCCGGAGAGACAAGUCAGAUGUGAAAUCCACGGGCUCAACCCGUGAACUGCAUUUGAAACUGGUUCCCUUGAGUGUCGGAGAGGUAAUCGGAAUGCGUUGUGUAGCGGUGAAAUGCAUAGAUAUAAGGAAGAACACCAGUGGCGAAGGCGGAAUACUGGACGAUAACUGACGGUGAGGCGCGAAAGCGUGGGGAGCAAACAGGAUUAGAUACCCCUGUAGUC